rnacentral:rRNA from 1 species
GACGUAGGGCGCGAGCGUUGUCCGGAUUUAUUGGGCGUAAAGAGCUCGUAGGCGGCUCGUUGCGUCAACCGUGAAAACCCGGGGCUUAACUUCGGGCUUGCGGUUGAUACGGGCGGGCUGGAGUUCGGUAGGGGAGACUGGAAUUCCUGGUGUAGCGGUGAAAUGCGCAGAUAUCAGGAGGAACACCGGUGGCGAAGGCGCACAUCUGGCCCGAUACUGACGCUGAGGCGCGAAAGCUAGGGGAGCAAACGGG